rnacentral:rRNA from 1 species
ACUCCUACGGGAGGCAGCAGUGAGGAAUAUUGGUCAAUGGACGCAAGUCUGAACCAGCCAUGUCGCGUGCAGGAAGACUGCCCUAUGGGUUGUAAACUGCUUUUAUACGGGAAGAAAUAUAGCUACGUGUAGUUAUUUGCCGGUACCGUAUGAAUAAGCAUCGGCUAACUCCGUGCCAGCAGCCGCGGUAAUACGGAGGAUGCGAGCGUUAUCCGGAUUCAUUGGGUUUAAAGGGGUGCGUAGGCGGAAGUAUAAGUCAGGGGUGAAAGUUUGUGGCUCAACCAUAAAAUUGCCUUUGAUACUGUAUUUCUUGAGUACAUUUGAGGUAGGCGGAAUGUGUUGUGUAGCGGUGAAAUGCUUAGAUAUAACACAGAACACCGAUUGCGAAGGCAGCUUACUAAACUGUAACUGACGCUGAUGCGCGAAAGCGUGGGGAGCAAACAGGAUUAGAUACCCUGGUAGGUCAGUC